rnacentral:lncRNA from 1 species
AGAGUGUCCAUGGGCUGAAGGCUUUUGAAAUCAAAUCACAGUAGAAUUGCCUGAAGGAAGUGAGAGUGUAUAGCCUGAUGCCGAGAAGAAAAAGCCUGGGGGUAACAUACAGAGUGAGAACUGACAGCUCUUUUUAAGUCUUUCAAGGGCCAUCAUGUGGAAGAUGGAGUAGGAGGCCCAGCAAGCAGAUUUGAGAGAUUGUGCUCUGUACUUGUGCAAUCUAAUUGUGUCCUGUUAGAAAGGAGAUGUCCUGGGAAACUCAGAUUAAGAGGACAGAAGCCCAAAACUAAGCUGUACAGUCAAAAACGUCUAGCUGUUUCUUGUAGCAGAUUGUGCCAGUAAGCGUCACUGAAGAGUAAUUUCAAGGGCUGGUGAAAAUAUAAGAUAAAACACUGAUUACAGGAUGACAGGUUUUCUCUGCUCAACAAUCUUUGAAUUAUUCAGAAAACUUUGCUUCCAGAGUGGUAUAUUAAUAAUACACCUAAGCAAAUAUUUUGUUGCUUAAGCUGAAAGGCAUUUUCUCCUUGAAGGGAAAGCUUCUGAAGAUGGCAGUAGAUUAACAUACCCAAAUAUCUUGAUAUCCUCAAUAGGAAGAAAGUCAAGUUAAGUUUCCUGAUCUAAAGAGUCCAGGAAAUUAAAUUCUCUCUAUGUUCUGUUUCUGAAGUACUGCAGAAACUGCUCAAGAUGGAAGGAUACCAGAGAAGAAAAACAUUGCUCAAUGUUUAAAACUUAUUUUAUUUUUUGAAAAAAGAAACAUAAUAACUUAGUCCAAAAUCAAACAACAUAAAAAGUAUACAUUGAAAAGUUUAUCCUCACCCUAUCUACUUCCAGCAAUUUCCUUCCAAUUCUAUCUGUAGUAUUUUUUCAUUUUUCUUCUUGUUUUUUUUAAAUAAAAUAAAAUAAAAUAAUAAUGCACACUAUUA